ACAACGGAGAGUUUGAUCCUGGCUCAGAACGAACGUUGGCGGCGUGGUUUAGGCAUGCAAGUCGAACGAGAAAGCUUCCUUCGGGAAGUGAGUAAAGUGGCGAACGGGAGAGUAACGCGUGGGAAACCUACCCUUCAGCGGGGGACAACACCUCU
rnacentral:rRNA from 1 species